rnacentral:lncRNA from 1 species
AUGCUCUUCUCCAAGCAGGCACUUUUACCCAUACCCUUUUCUCCAGUACCAUCAUCUCUACUUCAAGGCUCUUCUGCUCAUGAAGUCCCACAGGCCAUUCACAGCUGCUGUUACCAUGGGUCCCUGCACCCUAUCCUCCCCAGAGACCACUCUGAGAGCAUCAGUACCCUGUGCUGGAGCAGACAUGUGCCUCAUGCUCCCCUCCAGGACCAGCUGCGCUCCCCUUGGCCCUGCAGCCCAGCCUGGGACCAUGGGCAGGUCUGUGUUCCAGGGAUGAUCUCCCUUCAAUGUCCUGAUACCCAGCACAGAAGUGGUCAAGCAGAUGGGACCUGGCUUUUUUCCAGGUUUCCCCACCUCAGGACCAGCCAGCACCGAGACGACUCUUGGCGGAUACACACGCGGCUGGAGCCUGGUCCAGCCACAGCGACCUGCUUGAGCGGCAGAGAGCCGCCUGCUUUCACCCUUCCUCAGUGCUGCUUUGCCAGGAGCAGUCCGCGGCAGGCAGACCCAGGCGCGACCCACCCGUGUCCACCAGCACUACCAGCCAGCUGUCACCCUCUGCAGCUUGUCUCUAACACCUCCCAGCUUCUUCCAGGAGCUGAACUGACAGCUGAUGGGCUAUGAACCAGGGCAGCUGGGUCUCAAGAGGGGCUUUAUUCAUUAGCAGAGGGGCUGGGGCAGUGGCUAGGGAUGGAGAUAGGCAGGGCAGCCUCCCCUCUGCUCCAGCUCUCAGAUAGCUGCACAUCUUUCCAGUAGCAGCAGAGACACCCUUUUGCAAAGCUAAAAGGGCUGAAUUACGUGGGCUAAAAACAGGACUGGAGUUCAUGUGUUCCCCAAAGAAGCGGUGACAGGUGGCCAGCUUUCCCUCCCUGGGGUUAAUAUCUGUGUCCCACUGUUGGCAAUCCCCAGCAGGUCUGGGAAGGAUUUGAGCCCAGAAUGCAAGUCCCAGGCUGGGGGCCUCAGCAAGGAAGCUGACUUUGAGGAUGUCAGCAAGAGCACAAAGGCUGCUGCUGUGAACAGAGUGAUGUUCAGGGAAAACAGGUCCCUGUGGCCAGACACAGCCAGCAUAACUUGAAGGGAAUCUAAGAAGGAAAUAGUUGUCUCCAUGUCCCUAGGGAGUGGGACAGACAGGAAAGGACUAGGGCUGCAGUAAGGGAAGUUAUGCAUAUCUGCCAUCUUAGGUCUGUGAAUCCAGAUUAAAAGAAUUCUUUGGAAGUGGCCUCAGGAUGUGACUUGGGACACAGGGACAGAGUGGAUGACUUGUAGGAGUUCCUUUGGCCCUGAUGACUCCACCUGCAGCAGCACUCCAGCAGGUGUGAAGUAAAGCUGGCUGUGCCCACCUCAAGAUAUAGUGUGGGUGUGGGGUGAGCUGCAGCCCUGUGAGGAAGCAGGGGAGUCAGUGGGACUUCGCAUGGGUGGGAACAGAGGUUUGGUGGCAAUCACCUUUCCCGAGUCAAAGUCCCCAUAAGGGUCCUGCCCACAUCAUUGGGAGCUCAUGGAGAUGUGGCCACCACUGACUGCCUCCUUCCCAGUCCUGCUGUUUGCCUCAGUUACGAGAUCCCAUGCAGCCCUGUCCAGCCAGCGUGGGGUAAUUAAAGGCAAAGAGGCCUCAUUCCUCAAGGACAGCCUCUUGGCAAGGAUGGAGGAGCUGUGAAGUCAUAGGGAAGCAAAACCCCGUCUCUCCCUGUCCUGGGGGACUGCAAAAGAAAAACUCAGUUUCUGGGUGAAGCAUCUUCAUCCUUGGCUUGCUGAGGUCCGGUGAGCUUCCUUGGCUUUUCCACAUGCAGAAGGAUGGGAGCAUGGAGGAUAGCUCACAGAGGCAGCACUACCACAAUGGUGUGUGUGGUCACCUCCACCACAGCUGUCCCUGCAUGGUUCUGGCCAGCUCCUUCCAUCAGCUGAGGAUGGUUGCUCCAUCCUCCACCAGAGCCACACAAAUCCCUGGACUAAUAUGCAGGUGCAGCAGUUGCUUGGCUGGGCAGAGGAUUAGCCCUCACCAACUUUUACAGAUAUGCUGCUUAGCAGCAGAGCUGCAGCACUGUUUCUUCUGCUUUAACAAUGAGAAGGUGACAUUAGCAUCCCAAAUCGAAGCCUCUCCAACCUCGAGCGGCUCUAAGGGAAAUGCACGCAUACAUAGAUAUGUACAUGUUUGUGGAGGUAUGGCAAAAAUCAGCCUGAGUGAUGUGGUUUGGGGCUUUGCUUUUAUAACCACAGCCAUUCAGUCCAGAUUAGAGAUGGGCAGUGUCCCUGGGAGGUGACAUGAGGCAAAAGGCUCUGUGACCUAGAAGAGUCAGCCAGAGAUAAAACACUUCUGGGGCACUGAGGAUAAGCUGCCAGUUGGAAACUUUCCUGCCCAGAAAAAGAAAAGGGACAGACUCUGAAGGGAAUGUAGCAAAAUGCACAGAGCCUCCUAUUCCACUGAAAAUUCUUGUUGUAUUUAUGCAUCCACUGGGAUGAAUGAAAUGAAAAUAGAUAUCAAAAUGGCCCUUUGCUCUCAGCUGCAAGGGGGACUCUGUUGAGAACCCAUCCAGCAGAAGAAAAUGAGAUCUCAUUACUUUAAAUAUUAGCUGAUGCACUAUCCCAUUGGACUUGUUAUACAAUCCAAAUGAUGCACCUCUUCAAAAAAUAAUUAGAAAAAAUGUUGCUGGAGACAUAAAAUACAAGAGGAAAAGGCUAUACUUGUGUUCCAGGCCUGCCUGGCAUGGAAAGGUGGGGUUUUGUUUUUGAUGAUGUUUUCUCAAACAUUAAAAUCUGCCUGCCAAUACGUUCUGAGCUUCACAUGCCUCAUUUAACUACAGACAUAGCAACAGAUAAAUAUGCCAUGACGAAUUUGGUAACAUUACUUUAUUGACGGCCAAAAAAAACCCCCCAGAUCACUCAAGACUAAAAGCCUGAACUCCUGCCAAACAAUCACAAGCAAGUGCUGGGAUGAAAGAUUUCGCGCCAGAAAUGGACAGACUCCACUAAAUAACUCCCAAUAACUGGAAGGUCUCUGCAAAGGUGAGGGCUCAGCUGCAGAGCAUCCUCAAAGAAACAGAAACAGAGAGUGAGAACACAAUGAAAGGGAAACAAACCACAUGGUCAUUGCUGCUCAGGUGACUGCAUCAGCAGGACAAGGGAAUGUCAGAGGCACUCAGUGCACCUUGGUAUGUGGGGGGAUUUGAGGUACCUAUUUAUGACGGCUGAGGGGAGGACCAAGCAGAUUAAAGUUAUAUUUGCAGCUAUUAAAAAUGAUCAGAUUAGUGAAAUCUAGAGACGAGAGAGAAGCUUCAGAGGGAUGACCCAAAGCUAAUUAAUUUGGCAGCAUGAUGGGAGAAGAAAUUAAGCGUGGACAGGGGGAAAGUAAAACAUAUUGGAAGGAACAACUUCAAUGCUUCAUAAUCACUAGUGGUUUCUAAAUUAACUGGAAGCAUGAAGGCAAAAAAAAUUAUGUGGGUGUAUCUGUGGACAAUAGAGCGAAAACCAUCUGGUUAAUGUACAGUGGUGAGGAAAAAAACCCUGAACAUGCUGUCAGAUUGCUUUCAUAGAGGGAUACAGAAAAUAAUAAAAAUAUUACAGUACUGUGUUGGUAAUGACUC